UGGUACCUGAAGUCAAGCAAGGUCA
rnacentral:rRNA from 1 species